rnacentral:lncRNA from 1 species
AGUGCGACAGCUUCAGAGCUGAUGGAGAGACAGAGAGCACGCAACUGGAAAAAAUCAGACAUGGAAUUCAUGGAUUAACUGGUCACCAAUUGUUUCAGCAUUGCGUAUUGAAUAAUACAACCUUCUUCCACUGCCGUGAAAUGUCAACAGCUGCUCUCCCACUAGAUAGGGCGUAGCUUUCCACAGACGUGAAAACAUCGCUGUGGUCCAUCUCUAUUUACUGCAAGCAGAAGGGUCAAGACAGAAAACAUAGAGGCUUUUAGUAGGAGACUGAAAUAGCUACAGUGCAAGACGGAGAGAGGCCUUCAUGCAUGGUGUGCAUUUGCCACCUAGUGACCACACUGAGGUUUCCAGUGGUGCCAGUACCAAGGUCUUCCAACAUCUCCAGGUCUUCCAGCAACUGCAAGUCUUCCAACACUGUCAAGGUCUUCCAGACAAUCGUGAUCUUCCAGAAAAUAUGUCUUCCAGAUGAUAUAUGUCUUCCAACAACCUCAGAGUCUUCCAGUAAAUUCAGUCUUCCAUGGUAUCUAGAUCUUCCGUGAUAUCUAGAUCUUCUAGGAAAAUCUGUGUCUUCCAGGAAAAUCUUUGUCUUCCAAGGGAUCCAUGUCUUCCAGAAAAAAAUCCACGUCUUCCAGAAAAAUUCAUGUCUUCCAGGAAAAUCCAUGUCUUCCAGAAAAAUCCAAGUCUUCCAGAAGAAUCUAAGUCUUCCUGAAAAAUCCAUGUCUUCCAUAACAAUCUACAUCUUCCAGAAUAAUCAACGUCUUCCACAAAAUUCAGGUCUUCCAGAAAAAUAUCCAGGUCUUCCAACCAGUCUAUGUCUUCCAGAAAAAUCCAGGUCUUCCAGCUCAUCUAUGUCUUCCAUCAGUUCAAGUCUUCCAGAUACCCAUGUCUUCCAUUAAAUCUAGGUCUUCCAAUAGAUCUAUGUCUUCCUGAAAAUUAACGUCUUCCAAUAAUGUCCAAGUCUUCCAGCCAAGAUAUGUCUUCCUGAAGAUUAAUGUCUUCCUGAAGAUUGACAUCUUCCAGCAGAAAAUCUUUGUCUUCCAUUAAAUCCACAUCUUCCAGAAAAUCCAUGUCUUCCCAAAAAUCCACAUCUUCCAGGAAAUCAACGUCUUCCCCAAAAUCCAUGUCUUCCUGAAAAUCCACCGUCUUCCAAAUAAUCCAAGUCUUCCCAGAAAUCGAAGUCUUCCCGAAAAUCCAUGUCUUCCCAAAAAUCUACGUCUUCAUGAAAAUCUAUGUCUUCCCAAAAAUCCAAGUCUUCCCAGAAAUCUAAGUCUUCCUGAAAAUCCAAGUCUUCCCAAAAGUCCAUGUCUUCCCAAAGAUCCAUGUCUUCCCGAAAAUCCACGUCUUCUGGAAAAUCGAAGUCUUCCCAGAAAUCCAAGUCUUCUGGAAAAUCGAAGUCUUCCCAGAAAUCCAAGUCUUCCGGAAAAUCGAAGUCUUCCCAGAAAUCGAAGUCUUCCCGAAAAUCCAAGUCUUCCCGAAAAUCCAAGUCUUCCUGAAAAUCCAAGUCUUCCUGAAAAUCUAAGUCUUCCGGAAAAUCUAAGUCUUCCAGAAAAUCUACGUUUUCCCAGAAAUCCAAGUCUUCCCAGAAAUCCAAGUCUUCCCAGAAGUCCAAGUCUUCCUGAAAAUCCAAGUCUUCCCGAAAAUCCAAGUCUUCCCGAAAAUCCAAGUCUUCCCAGAAAUCCAAGUCUUCCCGAAAAUCCAAGUCUUCCCGAAAAUCCAAGUCUUCCCAGAAAUCCAAGUCUUCCCGAAAAUCCAAGUCUUCCCGAAAAUCCAAGUCUUCCCAGAAAUCCAAGUCUUCCCGAAAAUCCAAGUCUUCCCAGAAGUCCAAGUCUUCCCAGAAAUCCAAGUCUUCCCGAAAAUCCAAGUCUUCCCGAAAAUCCAAGUCUUCCCAGAAGUCCAAGUCUUCCCAGAAGUCCAAGUCUUCCCGAAAAUCCAAGUCUUCCCGAAAAUCCAAGUCUUCCCGAAAAUCCAAGUCUUCCCAGAAGUCCAAGUCUUCCCAGAAAUCCGAGUCUUCCCAGAAGUCCAAGUCUUCCCAGAAAUCCGAGUCUUCCCAGAAAUCCAAGUCUUCCCAGAAGUCCAAGUCUUCCCGAAAAUCCAAGUCUUCCCGAAAAUCCAAGUCUUCCCAGAAAUCCGAGUCUUCCCAGAAAUCCGAGUCUUCCCAGAAAUCGAAGUCUUCCCAGAAAUCCGAGUCUUCCCAGAAAUCCAAGUCUUCCCGAAAAUCCAAGUCUUCCCAAAAAUCCAAGUCUUCCCAGAAAUCCGAGUCUUCCCAGAAAUCCAAGUCUUCCCAGAAGUCCAAGUCUUCCCGAAAAUCCAAGUCUUCCCGAAAAUCCAAGUCUUCCCAGAAAUCCAAGUCUUCCCAGAAGUCCGAGUCUUCCCAGAAAUCCGAGUCUUCCCAGAAAUCCGAGUCUUCCCAGAAAUCCGAGUCUUCCCAGAAAUCCAAGUCUUCCCAGAAAUCCGAGUCUUCCCAGAAGUCCAAGUCUUCCCAGAAGUCCAAGUCUUCCCAGAAAUCCGAGUCUUCCCAAAGAUCCACUUCUUCCCAGUAAUCUGUGUCUUUCCAGAAAUCCGUGUUUUCCCGAAAAUCCAAGUCUUCCCGAAAAUCAAUGUCUUCCUGAAAAUCCAAGUCUUCCCAGAAACCCAUGUCUUCCUGAAAAUCCAUGACUUCCCAAAAAUCCAAAUCUUCCUGAAAAAUCCAUAUCUUCCCAAAAAUCCACGACUUCCCAAAAAUCCAUGUCUUCGUGAAUAUCCACGUCUUCCUGAAAAUCCAAGUCUUCCCAGAAAUCCAUGUCCUUCCAAAAAUCCAUGUCUUCCUGAAAAUCUAUGCCUUCCAUAAAUCUACAUCUUCCUGAAAAUCCACAUCUUCCUGAAAAUCUACAUCUUCCUGAAAAUCCACAUCUUCCAUAAAUCCCAGUCUUCCCAGAAAUCCAAGUCUUCUGGAAAAUCCAUGUCUUCCUGAAAAUCUAUGCCUUCCACAAAUCCAUGUCCUCCUAACAAUCCAAGUCUUCCUAAAAAUCUACGCCUUCCACAAAUCUACAUCUUCCUGAAAAUCCACAUCUUCCCAAAAUCCAUGUCUUCGGAAAAAAUCCAUGUCUUCCAAGGAGUACAUGUGUCUUCCUUCACCUCCAAGUCUUCCAGCAUCUCCAGGGCUUCCAGCAUCUGCCUGUCUUCCAACAUCUCCACAUCUUCCAGCAUCUUUAUGUCUUCCAACAACUGCGCAGUGUCUCCAGUGUAUCGGCGUUUUGACAUUCAGGUUUUCUGGUGUCUGCCGUAUCCAGGAUGUGAGCUCUCAGCUGCUUCAAUAUCAUUCCUGCCAAGAUCUUCGCCAUAGUGAUCAUGGACUCCUCCUCUGAAACUGUAAAUUCCAA